CAAUAGCGUAUAUUAAAGUUGUUGCAGUUAAAAGCUCGUAGUUGGAUUUGUGGUGUACGCAGGCGGCCUGUCACUUAGUGUCGGAGCUUGCUUGCGUCGCCAUCCUUGGGUGGAUCCUGUGUGGCAUUAAGUUGUCGUGCAGGGGAUGCCCAUCGUUUACUGUGAAAAAUUAGAGUGUUCAAAGCAGGCUUAUGCCGUUGAAUAUAUUAGCAUGGAAUAAUAAGAUAGGACCUUGGUACUAUUUUGUUGGUUUGCGCACCAAGGUAAUGAUUAAUAGGGACAGUUGGGGGUGAUUCUGUAUUCCAUUUCGUUCUAGGAGGGUGAAAAUUCUUGGAUUUUUGGAAGACGAACUACUGCGAAAGCAUUUACCAAGGAUGUUUUCAUUAAUCAAGAACGAAAGUUAGGGGAUCGAAGAUGAUUAGAU
rnacentral:rRNA from 1 species